GGUUAAGCGACUAAGCGUACACGGUGGAUGCCCUGGCAGUCAGAGGCGAUGAAGGACGUGCUAAUCUGCGAUAAGCGUCGGUAAGGUGAUAUGAACCGUUAUAACCGGCGAUUUCCGAAUGGGGAAACCCAGUGUGAUUCGUCACACUAUCAUUAACUGAAUCCAUAGGUUAAUGAGGCGAACCGGGGGAACUGAAACAUCUAAGUACCCCGAGGAAAAGAAAUCAACCGAGAUUCCCCCAGUAGCGGCGAGCGAACGGGGAGCAGCCCAGAGCCUGAAUCAGUGUGUGUGUUAGUGGAAGCGUCUGGAAAGGCGCGCGAUACAGGGUGACAGCCCCGUACACAAAAAUGCACAUGCUGUGAGCUCGAUGAGUAGGGCGGGACACGUGGUAUCCUGUCUGAAUAUGGGGGGGACCAUCCUCCAAGGCUAAAUACUCCUGACUGACCGAUAGUGAACCAGUACCGUGAGGGAAAGGCGAAAAGAACCCCGGCGAGGGGAGUGAAAAAGAACCUGAAACCGUGUACGUACAAGCAGUGGGAGCACGCUUAGGCGUGUGACUGCGUACCUUUUGUAUAAUGGGUCAGCGACUUAUAUUCUGUAGCAAGGUUAACCGAAUAGGGGAGCCGAAGGGAAACCGAGUCUUAACUGGGCGUUAAGUUGCAGGGUAUAGACCCGAAACCCGGUGAUCUAGCCAUGGGCAGGUUGAAGGUUGGGUAACACUAACUGGAGGACCGAACCGACUAAUGUUGAAAAAUUAGCGGAUGACUUGUGGCUGGGGGUGAAAGGCCAAUCAAACCGGGAGAUAGCUGGUUCUCCCCGAAAGCUAUUUAGGUAGCGCCUCGUGAAUUCAUCUCCGGGGGUAGAGCACUGUUUCGGCAAGGGGGUCAUCCCGACUUACCAACCCGAUGCAAACUGCGAAUACCGGAGAAUGUUAUCACGGGAGACACACGGCGGGUGCUAACGUCCGUCGUGAAGAGGGAAACAACCCAGACCGCCAGCUAAGGUCCCAAAGUCAUGGUUAAGUGGGAAACGAUGUGGGAAGGCCCAGACAGCCAGGAUGUUGGCUUAGAAGCAGCCAUCAUUUAAAGAAAGCGUAAUAGCUCACUGGUCGAGUCGGCCUGCGCGGAAGAUGUAACGGGGCUAAACCAUGCACCGAAGCUGCGGCAGCGACGCUUAUGCGUUGUUGGGUAGGGGAGCGUUCUGUAAGCCUGUGAAGGUGUGCUGUGAGGCAUGCUGGAGGUAUCAGAAGUGCGAAUGCUGACAUAAGUAACGAUAAAGCGGGUGAAAAGCCCGCUCGCCGGAAGACCAAGGGUUCCUGUCCAACGUUAAUCGGGGCAGGGUGAGUCGACCCCUAAGGCGAGGCCGAAAGGCGUAGUCGAUGGGAAACAGGUUAAUAUUCCUGUACUUGGUGUUACUGCGAAGGGGGGACGGAGAAGGCUAUGUUGGCCGGGCGACGGUUGUCCCGGUUUAAGCGUGUAGGCUGGUUUUCCAGGCAAAUCCGGAAAAUCAAGGCUGAGGCGUGAUGACGAGGCACUACGGUGCUGAAGCAACAAAUGCCCUGCUUCCAGGAAAAGCCUCUAAGCAUCAGGUAACAUCAAAUCGUACCCCAAACCGACACAGGUGGUCAGGUAGAGAAUACCAAGGCGCUUGAGAGAACUCGGGUGAAGGAACUAGGCAAAAUGGUGCCGUAACUUCGGGAGAAGGCACGCUGAUAUGUAGGUGAAGUCCCUCGCGGAUGGAGCUGAAAUCAGUCGAAGAUACCAGCUGGCUGCAACUGUUUAUUAAAAACACAGCACUGUGCAAACACGAAAGUGGACGUAUACGGUGUGACGCCUGCCCGGUGCCGGAAGGUUAAUUGAUGGGGUCAGCGCAAGCGAAGCUCUUGAUCGAAGCCCCGGUAAACGGCGGCCGUAACUAUAACGGUCCUAAGGUAGCGAAAUUCCUUGUCGGGUAAGUUCCGACCUGCACGAAUGGCGUAAUGAUGGCCAGGCUGUCUCCACCCGAGACUCAGUGAAAUUGAACUCGCUGUGAAGAUGCAGUGUACCCGCGGCAAGACGGAAAGACCCCGUGAACCUUUACUAUAGCUUGACACUGAACAUUGAGCCUUGAUGUGUAGGAUAGGUGGGAGGCUUAGAAGUGUGGACGCCAGUCUGCAUGGAGCCGACCUUGAAAUACCACCCUUUAAUGUUUGAUGUUCUAACGUUGACCCGUAAUCCGGGUUGCGGACAGUGUCUGGUGGGUAGUUUGACUGGGGCGGUCUCCUCCUAAAGAGUAACGGAGGAGCACGAAGGUUGGCUAAUCCUGGUCGGACAUCAGGAGGUUAGUGCAAUGGCAUAAGCCAGCUUGACUGCGAGCGUGACGGCGCGAGCAGGUGCGAAAGCAGGUCAUAGUGAUCCGGUGGUUCUGAAUGGAAGGGCCAUCGCUCAACGGAUAAAAGGUACUCCGGGGAUAACAGGCUGAUACCGCCCAAGAGUUCAUAUCGACGGCGGUGUUUGGCACCUCGAUGUCGGCUCAUCACAUCCUGGGGCUGAAGUAGGUCCCAAGGGUAUGGCUGUUCGCCAUUUAAAGUGGUACGCGAGCUGGGUUUAGAACGUCGUGAGACAGUUCGGUCCCUAUCUGCCGUGGGCGCUGGAGAACUGAGGGGGGCUGCUCCUAGUACGAGAGGACCGGAGUGGACGCAUCACUGGUGUUCGGGUUGUCAUGCCAAUGGCACUGCCCGGUAGCUAAAUGCGGAAGAGAUAAGUGCUGAAAGCAUCUAAGCACGAAACUUGCCCCGAGAUGAGUUCUCCCUGACUCCUUGAGAGUCCUGAAGGAACGUUGAAGACGACGACGUUGAUAGGCCGGGUGUGUAAGCGCAGCGAUGCGUUGAGCUAACCGGUACUAAUGAACCGUGAGGCUUAACCUU
rnacentral:rRNA from 1 species